UUUUAGAUAUUUUAUGAUUUACAAAAAACUAAGUUGCAAACUUAAGAAAGGUUUUAACCUCUAAAA
rnacentral:tRNA from 1 species